GCCGGGCACAGUGGCUCAUGCCUGUAAUCCUCACACUUUGGGAGGCUGAGGCAGAUGGAUCACUUGAGGCAAGGAGUUCUGGACCAUCCUGGCCAACAUGGCGAAACUCCAUCUCUACCAAAAAUACAAAAAUUAGCCGGGCAUGGUGGUGCGUGCCUGUAAUCCCAGCUACUAGGGAGGCUGAGGCAGGAGGAUUGCUUGAACCCAGAAGGUGGAGGUUGCAGUGAACCAAGAUGGUGUCAGUGCACUCCAGCCUGGGUGACAGAGUGAGACUCUGUCUCA
rnacentral:sRNA from 1 species